rnacentral:rRNA from 1 species
AUUGAACGCUGGCGGCAGGCCUAACACAUGCAAGUCGAGCGAGCGGCGGACGGGUGAGUAAUGUCUGGGAAACUGCCUGAUGGAGGGGGAUAACUACUGGAAACGGUAGCUAAUACCGCAUACCAUCAGAUGUGCCCAGAUGGGAUGAGCUAGUAGGUUGGGUAACGGCUAACCUAGGCGACGAUCCCUAGCUGGUCUGAGAGGCUGACCAGCCACACUGUAGCUGGCAAACGGUCCAGCCUCCUACGACAGGCAGCAGUGGGGAGUAUUGGACAAUGGGCGCAAGCCUGAUACAGCCAUGCCGCGUGUGUAAAGAAGGCCUUCGGGUUGUAAAGCACUUUCAGCGGGGAGGCGUUACCCGCAGAAGAAGCACCGGCUAACUCCGUGCCAGCAGCCGCGGUAAUAC